AUUUGCAGUACCACGAACAAUGUAUGAGUGUACCUUUUUCCUGAUGUCCUUGCCAACAUUUAUUGUUGCCUAUUUUCCUCAGGAUUGCCAUUCUGAAUGGAAUGAGAUGAAAUCUUAGUGUAGUUUUGAUUUGCAUUUCUUUGAUUGCUAGAGAUAUUGAACACUUUUUCAUAUAUUUGUUGAUUGAUUGUAUUUCUUCUUCUGUGAAGUGGCUGUUUAGUUCCUUAGCCCAUUUAUUGGUUAGGUUAUCUGGUUUUGUUGUUGUUGUUGUUUGGUGUUAAGUUUUUUGAGUUCUUUUUAUAUCCUAGAGAUUAAUACUUUAUCAGAGAUGCAUGUGGUAAAGACUUUCUCCCAAUCUAUAGGCUCUCUCUUCACAUUAUUGUUUCCUUUGCUGAGAAGAUGCUUUUUAAUUUGAAUCCAUCCCAUUUAUUGAUUCUUGAUUUUACUUCUUGUGUUUUAGGUAUCUUGUUAAGGAAGUCAGAUCCUAUCAUGAGCAACUUAGUCCUUCAUUUAUAAACACACAAAGACUACCAGAUAUAAGUAGGAAAUCAGUGAAAUGAAAAUGAAAGAAUAAAAUGAGAAAAGUGAAUUGUUGAUUCCAAAAGAGGUAUAGAUGGUGCAAGAAGCAAAAGAAAACUUAAAAAAAAAAAAACACUUAAAGUAUAUAGAGGUUCAAGAGGAUGUGUAGGGUGGUGGGGGAGAAAGAGAGAGAGACUAUGAACAACAGGCUUCCAUGGAAAGGAGAAAUCAGAUCAGAAAAGAAUUCUUAAAAGGAUGACAGUUAAAAUUAAAUAGAAGUGAUAUAAUAACAUAUCACUGAAUAAUGUGAACAGAAAUUCUCAUAUAGUUUCAAAAAAGCAUAGGGAUAUACAUGAAAAAAGUUGAUAUGUAGUUAUCAAUGUUUAUUUCAUUGUUAUUUUCUUUAUUUAACAGGGUUUCUUUAGCCAUUCUUAAUCUUUUCAGUUUGGAAAAGGUAUCUUGCUGUUUUUCAGCGGUCACCCCAAAAGUCAUAAACCUGUUAAACAUCAGUGAUAUCCAAAGUCUUUAAACUGAAUAUAUAAAGUAGCCUUUCUGUGGCAAUCAAUUACCAGUAGUUACAUUGUUUCACCAUGGCCUUUUCAAAGCUGUAUUGCUAGGAAAAGUAACAAAGUAUUUUAAGAAAAUUGGCCCUGUAGAAAGUAUGUCCCACCCCUUAUUAUCCUCAGUGCCACUUUCCAAGGGUAUUCAUUACUGGAGACUAAGGAGGCAUGAUGAGCUUUCUGUGUGUUCUCCAAGUCUUUUUGCACUGUACAUCUACAUGUGCAAAAUGUUGAACAAAGAUGGAAAUAAUUGUUUUGCAUCUUGCUUUUUUAACUCA
rnacentral:lncRNA from 1 species